rnacentral:rRNA from 1 species
UACGGGGGGGGCUAGCGUUGUUCGGAAUUACUGGGCGUAAAGGGCUCGUAGGCGGCCAACUAAGUCAGACGUGAAAUCCCUCGGCUUAACCGAGGAACUGCGUCUGAUACUGGAUGGCUGGAAUCUGGGAGAGGGAUGCGGAAUUCCAGGUGUAGCGGUGAAAUGCGUAGAUAUCUGGAGGAACACCGGUGGCGAAGGCGGCAUCCUGGACCGGUAUUGACGCUGAGGAGCGAAAGCCAGGGGAGCAAACAGG